ACCAGACCUGCGAGAGACACUCUUCUGAAAGUGGAUUUUAAAGAAAAAGCAGCUGAUUGGACAAAGAAAGCGAGGAGGGCACCAUGCACUUCACGUGCGCACACACUGGACAGUUAUGAGGAACAGACAACAGCAGAUACAAGGUUGACUGACUAUGAACAAAGUACACUGUGGUACAGGAUAACACUAUUCAUCCAGAAGGACAACUACCAAAAGUAGGAAGAAAGGACAGACCUACCAGAGUUGAUGCACAGUGGGAGAUAGUUAGGAGGAAGUUGCCCUGGGAGUCCUCAAUAUUGACUCGGGACCCCAUGAAUUCUCAUAUGGCAUCAGGUCAAAUACAGGUUCAACCACAAGUAUUAUGUGCUUGAUGAUACUUCAAUUGAAAAAUGGCAGGGGUGAAUGUGGAGCUUAUAGAGCAGCUCCUGAAGAAUUUCCGGACCCAUUAUGCCAAAGUUACCUUAGGUAGCUAAUGUCACUCAAGUGGAAAAUUCUGCUCUGUCUUUGUGUGAUUGGAAAUUGCCAUUGUAGAGGAACUGUUCACAGCGAAUUUUUAUUUGUCAUUUGCAAUUGCAUUUUGAUUAAAAAGCAAGAUAUCACCUAACACA